rnacentral:rRNA from 1 species
UACGUAGGUGGCAAGCGUUGUCCGGAAUUAUUGGGCGUAAAGCGCGCGCAGGCGGUCUUUUAAGUCUGAUGUGAAAGCCCACGGCUCAACCGUGGAGGGUCAUUGGAAACUGGGAGACUUGAGUGCAGAAGAGGAGAGUGGAAUUCCAUGUGUAGCGGUGAAAUGCGUAGAUAUAUGGAGGAACACCAGUGGCGAAGGCGACUCUCUGGUCUGUAACUGACGCUGAGGCGCGAAAGCGUGGGGAG